rnacentral:rRNA from 1 species
CAUGCAAGUCGAGCGGUAACAUUUCUAGCUUGCUAGAAGAUGACGAGCGGCGGACGGGUGAGUAAUGCUUGGGAACAUGCCUUGAGGUGGGGGACAACAGUUGGAAACGACUGCUAAUACCGCAUAAUGUCUACGGACCAAAGGGGGCUUCGGCUCUCGCCUUUAGAUUGGCCCAAGUGGGAUUAGCUAGUUGGUGAGGUAAUGGCUCACCAAGGCGACGAUCCCUAGCUGGUUUGAGAGGAUGAUCAGCCACACUGGGACUGAGACACGGCCCAGACUCCUACGGGAGGCAGCAGUGGGGAAUAUUGCACAAUGGGCGCAAGCCUGAUGCAGCCAUGCCGCGUGUGUGAAGAAGGCCUUCGGGUUGUAAAGCACUUUCGGUCAGGAGGAAAGGUUAGUAGUUAAUACCUGCUAGCUGUGACGUUACUGACAGAAGAAGCACCGGCUAACUCCGUGCCAGCAGCCGCGGUAAUACGGAGGGUGCGAGCGUUAAUCGGAAUUACUGGGCGUAAAGCGUACGCAGGCGGUUUGUUAAGCGAGAUGUGAAAGCCCCGGGCUCAACCUGGGAACUGCAUUUCGAACUGGCAAACUAGAGUGUGAUAGAGGGUGGUAGAAUUUCAGGUGUAGCGGUGAAAUGCGUAGAGAUCUGAAGGAAUACCGAUGGCGAAGGCAGCCACCUGGGUCAACACUGACGCUCAUGUACGAAAGCGUGGGGAGCAAACAGGAUUAGAUACCCUGGUAGUCCACGCCGUAAACGAUGUCUACUAGAAGCUCGGAACCUCGGUUCUGUUUUUCAAAGCUAACGCAUUAAGUAGACCGCCUGGGGAGUACGGCCGCAAGUUUAAAACUCAAAUGAAUUGACGGGGGCCCGCACCAGGCGGUGAGCAUGUGGUUUAAUUCGAUGCAACGGCGAAGAACCUUACCUACACUUGACAUACAGAGAACUUUCUAGAGAUAGAUUGGUGCCUUCGGGAACUCUGAUACAGGUGCUGCAUGCUUGUCGUCAGCUCGUGUUUGGGAGAUGUUGGUUAAGUCCCGCACGAGCGCAACCCUAUCUUUAGUUGCUAGCAGGUAUGCUGAAACUCUUAGGAACUGCCGGUGAUAAACCGAGAG